GUCCGUUUCUUCUCCUCCCCGCGACCGUUCGCCAUCCUCUCCAUUACGCCGCGCGAGUCACUGCAGCGACGGUUUCUCCACUGAUUCCUCCAUUAAUAACCUUUAAAGCAAUUCAAGUCCGCCCAGCCAGUCCUAAGCUCUCCCUAAUCCGGCUAUAAAAGCCACGUCCGUGAGUCUCUUCCCAGCUCGCCCUUGCUGCUCUCUUGCUCGUACGCACACACCUGCUGUCGCUGCUGCUCGCCGAGCACUUUUCCGGUGUGCUACGCCAUUGCCUGUGCCGCCGGAGCUGUUCGUCGACUAUCGUCAGAACACGGUGAACCCGGUGCCCCGACGACCUCCCCUGUUGGUACUCGACCUUGCCCUCUCGGUCGUCCGCCCGCCAGCCGUGCCCUCAUCCACCUCU
rnacentral:lncRNA from 7 species